rnacentral:rRNA from 1 species
GAAACCGUGAGGUCAAGCAAAUCCCAUAAAGUUGUUCUCAGUUCGGAUUGUAGUCUGCAACUCGACUACAUGAAGCUGGAAUCGCUAGUAAUCGUAGAUCAGCAUGCUACGGUGAAUACGUUCCCGGGUCUUGUACACACCGCCCGUCACACCACGAGAGUUUGUAACACCCGAAGCCGGUGGAGUAACCUUUUAGGAGCUAGCCGUCGAAGGUGGGACAAAUGAUUGGGGUGAAGUCGUAACAAGGUAGCCGUAUCGGAAGGUGCGGCUGGAUCACCUCCUUUCUAAGGA